UACGUAGGGGGCAAGCGUUGUCCGGAAUCAUUGGGCGUAAAGAGCGUGUAGGCGGCCAGAUAAGUCCGCUGUGAAAUCUCGAGGCUCAACUUCGAGCUGUCGGUGGAAACUGUCUGGCUAGAGUCCGGAAGAGGAGAAUGGAAUUCCUGGUGUAGCGGUGAAAUGCGCAGAUAUCAGGAAGAACACCUAUGGCGAAGGCAGCUCUCUGGGACGGUACUGACGCUGAGACGCGAAAGCGUGGGGAGCGAACAGG
rnacentral:rRNA from 1 species